UCCUUUUUCUCUGUUUAUAUUUUAGGGGAAUCCCAGCUCCGCAGCUUUUCCUCCCUCGUCGUGUGCUGGUAGGAAGCUUCACAAUCGAAACAAUUAGUAACUCCUUCGGUACGCGCGUGACGUUUCGGUUUUGCAGACUGCCAAUAUAAGAGGUUGCGUAUUCCGAGAAGCAAAUCAGGCGAGUUCAUACGAGUAGUUACGUAACGAGGCCGUGUGAUUCCGUUUAGAAUUUUUAUGGCUUAAAUGAGAUAUAAUUGUACAAAAGGAGUUACGUGCGAUCGCCGUGCGUACGACCCACUAAACCUGUGUGGUCUCGAGCGGUCCAGUUUUUUCUUGUACCUCACUUCGCCCCCGUGCAAUUGCGGCUUCAAGUCAUCUGGAUUUUCCGAUGGCAAUAGGCCACCCACCAGCUUCGUUGAACCUUCGAUUUAACUCUUUCCUUUGCAAAUCUAUUUCCUGUGCGUCACUAUAUCCUCAUUUAUUUAUUUUUAUAAUUAAGAGCUCGAAAUCCACUCUUGCACACAAUUUGAUUAUGAUACAGUAAUCCUACAAUUGAACCGUGAUACUUUCCAAUAACGUACCGUUGAAGACGUACCCUCACACGGAAUCCAAAAGGUCCAAAUUAUUGGAAUCGAGGUCAACAAUUAUUUCAACGUUCAAAGUCACGUGGGAUAGUGAACAACAAUCACAUGUAAAAUUCAAUCGGAGGGAAAUGCCUGUGCACGCGCAUCGUCAAUGGACGGCGUGCACAAAAACUGAUUACGUGACAGUGAUUGCGUACCAGAGUCGAGUACCGGGAAUUUAACGGCUGCUGGUUAUCGAGGGUCCCUAAUGACGUCAACAUCAUCCACGAAGAUCAGAGAAUUCGUCGAAAAAGACCCACCAUGAUCCGUGGAUGAUUAGGGAGAACUCUUCAACAUUCCGUCGAGCGAUCUGGGUUAGGUCAAGGGAGGAAACGGUUCAGCGCCAGUAGAAAUUACCGUCGAUGAUGCGAUCUCUUCAUGAUUUGCUGCACAUCAUUCAAAGCACAGGGCUUUGCUUAUUCGAACAAAGUUUCACUGAAUCUCCGACUUACCGCUGAAUUUCAAGCGUCAGGAAUAAGGGAUACAGGAAUUGAGCGGGGGUUUUCAAAAGGGGAUUCAGGAUUUUUUGAGAUGUUUUAUGAAAACACAAAUGGUUUGGAAUAUGUCUUUUUUUCUUAGAUGACGUGACAACUAAAAAUGAAAGAUGACAUUAUUUAACUCUUUAAAGUUAAGGGGAUGAAAAACUAUCCCACCUUUUGCUUAGCUUUACUAUUUUAUUUAAUUUUCAUUCAUGUGGCAUACAAGGCGAAAUGCUUUAACAAGUUGUUGACACUAUUUUUCUGUGCAGUUUGAAUUUUCUUUUUCUUUUAUAAUCGUGUGCCUCGAAGAGUUAACCCUUUCAGACUUGGCGUCCACAAUUGAGGACACAAAAUUAACAAAAUAUAUUUAUAUACUAAAACUAUUAAGUUUAUAUUUGAGAACUUAAAAAUUAAAUUAAGAUAAUAAUUCAGGUCUGAAACGUUCAAGUAUCCCCUACAACUUAUCUGUGUUUUCAAAACAAAAUCCUGAAGUUCCUUUCGGAAAACCUUUAUCAGAUUUAAACAUUAGUUCUCCAUGUAAGGAGCAUACGAUAGAAAAUUUCGAUAGACAAUUUGGAAAGUUUUCCGGUGAUCUGUCGGCUCGCAACAGUAACCGGACGCGCGCGACUCUCAGAAGAAAAAAGAAAGAACCAAACGGGGGUAGAAGUCGACGGAACUACGCACAAGAAGCGGUGUUAUCUUGUUAGAUAACAAGUGAUUAAUUUCGACACGCCGGUCAUUAAUUAAACGUCGAAGCAAUGCGUGUGCCAUGUUCUUGAAAAAGCGCGCCACUUUGGUUGAUAAAUUGCCGAUAAAGAGGCGCGCGGAUAACGCGAAGUUAAGGAGAUCGACGCGCGUCGUACCGCACGCUAAACAAAGAUUAUGCGAGAGAAUGAAUUCGUGUCCGUCGCACAAUUUAAGCAACGGCUGACGCAAGUGAAUGGUUUCGCUGGUCAUCGAGCUAACCCGCUCGAAAAUUGCUGCGUGCGAGGGACAGCUAGCGCUUCUACUACCGGUCUAUUUAGAAACACUCUUCGUUUUAUUGUUAGGAGGAGAUUUCUGCAUUAGUAUAUAUCAGAACUUCUUAAACUUUUUUCAUUCACCACCCAUUUUAUGAUUGUCAUUCUUUUCGCGACGCAAAAAGUACAGAAUAAAGAUAUGUACUUA